AAAGACAAAGAAGUGGAGCCGGAGCAGCCGACAUUCCAACAAUAAAAUGGCCCCAUUUUGAGGCCAUGCUUGAAUUAAUGGAAGGAGAAUCUGAGCCUGUGGCUUAAGUUCAAUAUUAGCUGACUAUUGAGUACUAAACAAAAAAAGUUGAUUUAAUUCACAUGACUGUUAUACAUACACAUAAUUACACACAUAUCAAUACACAUAAGUACACUGCACAUAAACAUAAAAGUCCCAAGAGGUAAUUCACAGUGGGCAUGCAUGUGAUCAUGAACAUGGUGGCGAUGGGCUGUUUUGAUGUCGAGUAAUUGUGGCUACAGCUACGAAGAAUAACUCUGUGCAUCAUUCUUUCAGGGUACUGUGCAACAUGAGUGCCAUUGACCAAAGCAGCCACAUCACAGCAGAAGAGGCUAACGAGAGAUCACCACCUCGGCCAAGCCAUGCAGCGGAACCGGAACGUACCCCUGAUACGGCUGAGGGGACUGGUGUCGACACCUGCAGCAAUGAUGAUGCUUCAGCAACCACCUCAAGAGAGCAGCCACCAUCAAAACGGUGUGUAAACAAAAAA